AGAAGUUCAAAGCACAUCAGUCAACAAAGGCAGGCAGUGGGUUACACUUCCCACACCCCAAUCACUGAACUCAAGGAGAUCAAACACAUAUCACGCCAAAUUCCCAAAACCACUUUUAUCAUUACGCAUUUUUGGUGUUAAAAUGCAAUAAUUUUUUAUAUCCAACUUGUUGAUACAUUGCAUCCAACUUCUACUAUAAAUACUUGAUCAAUCGCCAUGCAGAAACUCACCCAGAUCAGAGCAUAACACAAUGGCAGUAGUCUUUAACAAGCAAAGUAGCAUCUCUGUGAUAGCACUAAUGGCGCUGGUGUUUGUAGCAGUACUAUGUUUGACUAUUGCCUGUGCUGAUGCAGCUAGGUUGCCCCAUGACCCCACGGUUUUUCCUCAAGCUGGGUGUCGCUGCUGUGAUUUCAUAUGGAAGCCAAUGAUCCACUGCGGACGAGUGUGUUGCGAAGAUGGAUGCUGCGGAUGAUGAUCGAUCGAUCCAUUUCAAGUUUCUUACAUCAAUCCUAUAUUGUUAUCAACUUUAUUUUACUUCCUAAUAAAUAAUUGUCGUAUCAAUUUUAUUUUACUUCAUAAUAAAUAAAUAAUUAUCAAAUGUUAUUGUUGAAUUGAGUAUCGAAUUUAUUCUAAUUAAUGUGAACUUAAAUAAUUGUCAA